rnacentral:rRNA from 1 species
AAUGGACGUUGGCGGCAUGGAUUAGGCAUGCAAGUCGAGCGAGAAGUGUAGCAAUACACGGAAAGCGGCGGAAGGGAGAGUAAUACGUGGGAAUCUGCCCUUAGACCUGGGAUAGCAGCGGGAAACUGCUGGUAAUACCAGAUAAUGUCCAUGGACCAAAGGUGUGAUUCCGUCUAGGGAUGAGCCCACGUCCUAUUAGCUAGUUGGUAGGGUAAUGGCCUACCAAGGCGAUGAUGGGUAGCGGGUGUGAGAGCAUGACCCGCCUCACUGGGACCGAGACACUGCCCAGACACCUACGGGUGGCUGCAGUCGAGAAUCUUCGGCAAUGGGCGCAAGCCUGACCGAUCGAUGCCGCGUGCGGGAUGAAGGCCGUCGGGUUGUAAACCGCUGUCGAGGGGGAGCAACUUCCAUAGAGUUAUCUUUAUGGAUUGAGUGAUCCCUGGAGGAAGGACGGGCUAAGUUCGUGCCAGCAGCCGCAGUAAGAC